AUCGAUGGUGAGGCGUUGGAUCGUGCGCUGCUCGCCUACAACGGGGCGAGCAGCGCGUGUGCGC
rnacentral:sRNA from 1 species